rnacentral:lncRNA from 1 species
CCUGGGGAGCGUCCCCUGCCCCCACCCUCGGGCUGGCGGCGCGCUCAGCCGCAGGAAGGAGGCUUUGUUCCGUGUCCCCGGCAGUCUCAUCCUCUUAGCUGCUGCUGGUUUGAGGAGCGUUCUGUGCGGGUCUGGACGCCCCCGCCUGAACAAGGUGCUUUCUAGAGGGGGCGAGUAAGCGAGCACCACUCGGUGUUUGCUCCGCGAACGCCACCUGCUGGCCCGAACUGGGUUGGGCACUGGAGUUUCACGAGAGUGCUGAGGCGCCGGUCCCGCCAGAGGAGAAAAUGUGGUCAUGGCCUCCUCGUUUCCCCUCAGAGCUGCAUGUGAGCCCUCCUUUC